rnacentral:rRNA from 1 species
ACGGGGCCGCACAAGCGGUGGAGCAUGUGGUUUAAUUCGACGCAACGCGAAGAACCUUACCAGGGCUUGACAUCCCCUGACCGCCUAUGAAAGUAGGCUUUCUACCUUCGGGUAGACAGGGAGACAGGUGGUGCAUGGUUGUCGUCAGCUCGUGUCGUGAGAUGUUGGGUUAAGUCCCGCAACGAGCGCAACCCUUACGGUUAGUUGCCAGCGGGUUAUGCCGGGCACUCUAGCUGAACUGCCGUUGACAAAACGGAGGAAGGUGGGAUGACGUCAAAUCAUCAUGCCCUUUAUGUCCUGGGCUACACACGUGCUACAAUGGCCUGUACAGAGGGAAGCGAAAGGGUGACCUGGAGCGAAUCCCAAAAAGCAGGUCUCAGUUCGGAUUGCAGGCUGCAACCCGCCUGCAUGAAGUCGGAAUCGCUAGUAAUCGCAGGUCAGCAUACUGUGGUGAAUACGUUCCCGGGCCUU